UCACCGGGUGAAAAUUGGUACA
rnacentral:miRNA from 1 species